rnacentral:lncRNA from 1 species
AGAUGAAAGAGAUGAUUUUCCUAGGGGAACUUGGGGCAAGGCUUUUAGGAAGUGUUGGCAUUUAGCUGGGAUAUCAGAACACAUGGGAAUCACAUGA